rnacentral:rRNA from 1 species
CAUUGGUGAAGUGGGUGAUCCUAUGCUGUCGAGAAAAACCUCUAGCGAGCUAUGCGCCGCCCGUACCCCAAACCGACUCAGGUGAUCAGGUAGAGAAUACCAAGGCGAUCGAGAUAACCAUGGUUAAGGAACUCGGCAAAAUGCCCCCGUAACUUCGGGAGAAGGGGGGCCCGGAGCGUGUACCCGCUUGCUGGGGAAGCGUGAAGGGCCGCAGAGACCAGGCCCAAGCGACUGUUUACUAAAAACACAGGUCCGUGCGAAGUUGUAAGACGAUGUAUACGGACUGACUCCUGCCCGGUGCUGGAAGGUUAAGAGGACGGGUUAGACGUAAGUCGAAGCUCAGAAUUUAAGCCCCAGUAAACGGCGGUGGUAACUAUAACCAUCCUAAGGUAGCGAAAUUCCUUGUCGGGUAAGUUCCGACCUGCACGAAUGGAGUAACGACUUGGGCGCUGUCUCAACCAUGGACUCGGCGAAAUUGCACUACGAGUAAAGAUGCUCGUUACGCGCGGCAGGACGGAAAGACCCCGGGACCUUUACUAUAGUUUGGUAUUGGUGUUUGGUUCGACUUGUGUAGGAUAGGUGGGAGACUUUGAAGCAGCCACGCCAGUGGUUGUGGAGUCAUCGUUGAAAUACCACUCUGGUCGUACUAGAUGUCUAACCUAGGUCCGUUAUCCGGAUCAGGGACAGUGCCUGAUGGGUAGUUUAACUGGGGCGGUUGCCUCCUAAAAUGUAACGGAGGCGCUCAAAGGUUCCCUCAGCCUGGUUGGCAAUCAGGUGUUGAGUGUAAGUGCACAAGGGAGCUUGACUGUGAGACAGACAUGUCGAGCAGGGACGAAAGUCGGAACUAGUGAUCCGGCCACGGCAUGUGGAAGCGUGGUCGCUCAACGGAUAAAAGGUACCCCGGGGAUAACAGGCUGAUCUUCCCCAAGAGUCCAUAUCGACGGGAUGGUUUGGCACCUCGAUGUCGGCUCGUCGCAUCCUGGGGCUGGAGUAGGUCCCAAGGGUUGGGCUGUUCGCCCAUUAAAGCGGCACGCGAGCUGGGUUUAGAACGUCGUGAGACAGUUCGGUCCCUAUCCGCCGCGCGCGCAGGAAACUUGAGAAAGGCUGUCCCUAGUACGAGAGGACCGGGAUGGACGAACCUCUGGUGUGCCAGUUGUCCCGCCAGGGGCACGGCUGGUUGGCUACGUUCGGAAGUGAUAACCGCUGAAUGCAUCUAAGCGGGAAGCACGUUUCAAGAUGAGGUUUCCCACCAGGUUAACUGGGUAAGGCCCCCCACAGACUAUGGGGUUGAUAGGCCGGAGGUGUACAGCAGUAAUGCCCAGCCGACCGGUACUAAUAGGCCGAGGGCUUGUCUC